rnacentral:rRNA from 1 species
GAUGAACGCUGGCGGCGUGCCUAAUACAUGCAAGUCGAGCGAAUGGAUUAGGAGCUUGCUCUUAUGAAGUUAGCGGCGGACGGGUGAGUAUCACGUGGGUAACCUGCCCAUAAGACUGGGAUAACUCCGGGAAACCGGGGCUAAUACCGGAUAAUAUUUUGAACUGCAUGGUUCAAAAUUGAAAGGCGGCUUCGGCUGUCACUUAUGGAUGGACCCGCGUCGCAUUAGCUAGUUGGUGAGGUAACGGCUCACCAAGGCAACGAUGCGUAGCCGACCUGGGAGGGUGAUCGGCCACACUGGGACUGAGACACGGCCCAGACUCCUACGGGAGGCAGCAGUAGGGAAUCUUCCGCAAUGGACGAAAGUCUGACGGAGCAACGCCGCGUGAGUGAUGAAGGCUUUCGGGUCGUAAAACUCUGUUGUUAGGGAAGAACAAGUGCUAGUUGAAUAAGCUGGCACCUUGUCGGUACCUAACCAGAAAGCCACGGCUAACUACGUGCCAGCCGCCGCAGUAA